GAUGAACGCUAGCUACAGGCUUAACACAUGCAAGUCGCGGGGCAGCAUGGGGGUUGCUUGCAAUCCCCGAUGGCGACCGGCGCACGGGUGAGUAACGCGUAUCCAACCUGCCCUUCACCACGGGAUAACCCGGCGAAAGUCGGACUAAUACCGUAUGUUGUCCAUUGACGGCCUCCGAUUUGGACGAAAGGUUUGGCGGUGAAGGAUGGGGAUGCGUCCGAUUAGCUGGACGGCGGGGUGACGGCCCACCGUGGCGACGAUCGGUAGGGGUUCUGAGAGGAAGGUCCCCCACACUGGAACUGAGACACGGUCCAGACUCCUACGGGAGGCAGCAGUGAGGAAUAUUGGUCAAUGGGCGUAAGCCUGAACCAGCCAAGUAGCGUGCAGGAGGACGGCCCUAUGGGUUGUAAACUGCUUUUAUGCGGGGAUAAAGUGGCCCACGUGUGGGUUUUUGCAGGUACCGCAUGAAUAAGGACCGGCUAAUUCCGUG
rnacentral:rRNA from 1 species